rnacentral:misc_RNA from 1 species
GAUGAAGAACGCAGCGAAAUGCGAUAAGUAAUGUGAAUUGCAGAAUCCAGUGAAUCAUCGAAUCUUUGAACGCACAUUGCGCCCGCCAGCAUUCUGGCGGGCAUGCCUGUUCGAGCGUCAUUUCAACCCUCGACCUCCCCUUGGGGAGGUCGGCGUUGGGGACCGGCAGCACACCGCCGGCCCUGAAAUGGAGUGGCGGUCCGUCUGCGGCGACCUCUGCGUAGUAAUACAGCUCGCACCGGAACCCCGACGCGGCCACGCCGUAAAACACCCAACUUCUGAACGUUGACCUCGAAUCAGGUAGGACUACCCGCUGAACUUAAGCAUAUCAAUAAGCGGAGGA